UACGUAGGGUGCGAGCGUUAAUCGGAAUUACUGGGCGUAAAGGGUGCGCAGGCGGCUCCGCAUGUCGGGCGUGAAAUCCCCGGGCUUAACCUGGGAAUUGCGUCCGAAACUAUGGAGCUGGAGUGUGGCAGAGGGAGGUGGAAUUCCACGUGUAGCGGUGAAAUGCGUAGAGAUGUGGAGGAACACCGAUGGCGAAGGCAGCCUCCUGGGCCAACACUGACUCUCAUGCACGAAAGCGUGGGGAGCAAACAGG
rnacentral:rRNA from 1 species